rnacentral:rRNA from 1 species
UACGGAGGGUGCAAGCGUUAAUCGGAAUUACUGGGCGUAAAGCGCACGCAGGCGGCUUUUUAAGUCGGAUGUGAAAGCCCCGGGCUCAACCUGGGAAUUGCAUCCGAUACUGAAAAGCUAGAGUAUGUGAGAGGGGGGUAGAAUUCCAAGUGUAGCGGUGAAAUGCGUAGAGAUUUGGAGGAAUACCAGUGGCGAAGGCGGCCCCCUGGCACACUACUGACGCUCAGGUGCGAAAGCGUGGGGAGCAAACAGG